rnacentral:rRNA from 1 species
CCUACGGGAGGCAGCAGUGAGGAAUAUUGGACAAUGGGCGCAAGCCUGAUCCAGCCAUGCCGCGUGCAGGAAGACGGUCCUAUGGAUUGUAAACUGCUUUUAUACAGGAAGAAACACCUCUACGUGUAGAGACUUGACGGUACUGUAUGAAUAAGCAUCGGCUAACUCCGUGCCAGCAGCCGCGGUAAUACGGAGGAUGCAAGCGUUAUCCGGAAUCAUUGGGUUUAAAGGGUCCGUAGGCGGUUUAAUAAGUCAGUGGUGAAAGCCCAUCGCUCAACGAUGGAACGGCCAUUGAUACUGUUAAACUUGAAUUAUUAGGAAGUAACUAGAAUAUGUAGUGUAGCGGUGAAAUGCUUAGAGAUUACAUGGAAUACCAAUUGCGAAGGCAGGUUACUACUAAUAUAUUGACGCUGAUGGACGAAAGCGUGGGGGAGGCGAACAGGAUUAGAUACCCUGGUAGUCCACGCCGUAAACCGAUGGAUACUAGCUGUUCGGAGCAAUCUGNGUGGNGUAGAGAAGAGAUAAGUAUCCCACCCGUCGGGGUAGGUACGGUUCGUCGAAGAAGUAGAAACGUUAAAAUUAAGUAAGUUAGUACGGUACGUGAGACGUACGACCGACGGACGACCGACCGAGGGGAGGGUUAGGGAG